rnacentral:rRNA from 1 species
GACGAACACUGGCGGCGUGCCUAAUACAUGCAAGUAGAACGCUGAAGGAGGAGCUUGCUUCUCUGGAUGAGUUGCGAACGGGUGAGUAACGCGUAGGUAACCUGCCUGGUAGCGGGGGAUAACUAUUGGAAACGAUAGCUAAUACCGCAUAAGAGUAGAUGUUGCAUGACAUUUGCUUAAAAGGUGCAAUUGCAUCACUACCAGAUGGACCUGCGUUGUAUUAGCUAGUUGGUGGGGUAACGGCUUACCAAGGCGACGAUACAUAGCCGACCUGAGAGGGUGAUCGGCCACACUGGGACUGAGACACGGCCCAGACUCCUACGGGAGGCAGCAGUAGGGAAUCUUCGGCAAUGGACGGAAGUCUGACCGAGCAACGCCGCGUGAGUGAAGAAGGUUUUCGGAUCGUAAAGCUCUGUUGUAAGAGAAGAACGAGUGUGAGAGUGGAAAGUUCACACUGUGACGGUAUCUGACCAGAAAGGGACGGCUAACUACGUG